GACGUAGGGUGCGAGCGUUGUCCGGAUUUAUUGGGCGUAAAGAGCUCGUAGGCGGCUCGUCGCGUCGACCGUGAAAACCCGCGGCUUAACUGCGGGCUUGCGGUUGAUACGGGCGGGCUAGAGUUCGGUAGGGGAGACUGGAAUUCCUGGUGUGAGCGGUGAAAUGCGCAGAUAUCAGGAGGAACACCGGUGGCGAAGGCGGGUCUCUGGGCCGAUACUGACGCUGAGGAGCGAAAGCGUGGGGAGCGAACAGG
rnacentral:rRNA from 1 species